rnacentral:rRNA from 1 species
GAUGAACGCUGGCGGCGCGCCUAACACAUGCAAGUCGAACGGCACCCCUCCUCGGAGGGAAGCGAGUGGCGAACGGCUGAGUAACACGUGGAGAACCUGCCCCCUCCCCCGGGAUAGCCGCCCGAAAGGACGGGUAAUACCGGAUACCCCGGGGUGCCGCAUGGCACCCCGGCUAAAGCCCCGACGGGAGGGGAUGGCUCCGCGGCCCAUCAGGUAGACGGCGGGGUGACGGCCCACCGUGCCGACAACGGGUAGCCGGGUUGAGAGACCGACCGGCCAGAGAGGGACUGAGACACGGCCCAGACUCCGACGGGAGGCAGCAGUGGGGAAUCUUGCGCAAUGGGGGGAACCCGGACGAAGCGACGGCGCGUGCGGGACGGAGGCCUUCGGGUCGUAAACCGCUUUCAGCAGGGAAGAGUCAAGACUGUACCUGCAGAAGAAGCCCCGGCUAACUACGUG